rnacentral:rRNA from 1 species
GAUGAACGCUGGCGGCGUGCUUAACACAUGCAAGUCGAGCGAAGCGAUGAAACGGAAUUUUUCGGAAGGAAGUUUCAUUGACUUAGCGGCGGACGGGUGAGUAACGCGUGGGUAACCUGCCUCAUACAGGGGGAUAACAGUUAGAAAUGACUGCUAAUACCGCAUAAGCGCACAGAGAUGCAUGUCUCAGUGUGAAAAGUUCCGGCGGUAUGAGAUGGACCCGCGUCUGAUUAGCUAGUUGGCGGGGUAACGGCCCACCAAGGCCUCGAUCAGUAGCCGACCUGAGAGGGUGGCCGGCCACAUUGGGACUGAGACACGGCCCAA